CAGCCGCCGCGGGAAUACAGAGGGUGCGAGCGUUAAUCGGAUUUACUGGGCGUAAAGCGUGCGUAGGCGGCUUCUUAAGUCGGAUGUGAAAUCCCUGAGCUUAACUUAGGAAUUGCAUUCGAUACUGGGAAGCUAGAGUAUGGGAGAGGAUGGUAGAAUUCCAGGUGUAGCGGUGAAAUGCGUAGAGAUCUGGAGGAAUACCGAUGGCGAAGGCAGCCAUCUGGCCUAAUACUGACGCUGAUGUACGAAAGCAUGGGGAGCAAACAGGAUUAGAUACCCGCGUAGUCCCUGUCUCUUAUAC
rnacentral:rRNA from 1 species